rnacentral:rRNA from 1 species
CCCUUAGAUGUUCUGGGCCGCACGCGCGCUACACUGACGAAUGCAACGAGCUUAUAACCUUGGCCGAAAGGUCUGGGUAAUCUCCAAAUUUCGUCGUGAUGGGGAUAGAUUAUUGCAAUUAUUAAUCUUCAACGAGGAAUGCCUAGUAAGCGCAAGUCAUCAGCUUGCGUUGAUUACGUCCCUGCCCUUUGUACACACCGCCCGUCGCUCCUACCGAUUGAAUGGUCCGGUGAAGCAUUCGGACCGUGGCCUUUGGACGGUUCGCCGUCUGUUGGCUGCGGGAAGUUCGUUAAACCUUAUCAUUUAGAGGAAGGAGAAGUCGUAACA